rnacentral:rRNA from 1 species
UAAGGCCCCUAAGCGUACGCUAAGUGGGAAAGGAUGUGGAGUCGCACAGACAACCAGGAGGUUGGCUUAGAAGCAGCCACCCUUGAAAGAGUGCGUAAUAGCUCACUGGUCUAGUGAUUCCGCGCCGACAAUGUAGCGGGGCUCAAGCGUACCGCCGAAGUCGUGUCAUUCAUACAACAGGGCCAACGCCUGUAUGGAUGGGUAGGGGAGCGUCGUGUGCCGGGUGAAGCAGCCGCGUAAGCGAGUUGUGGACGGUUCACGAGUGAGAAUGCAGGCAUGAGUAGCGAUACAAACGUGAGAAACGUUUGCGCCGAUUGACUAAGGGUUCCUGGGUCAAGCUGAUCUGCCCAGGGUAAGUCGGGACCUAAGGCGAGGCCGACAGGCGUAGUCGAUGGAUAACCGGUUGAUAUUCCGGUACCCGCUGUGAAGCGUCAAACAUCGAGCAUCGUGAUGCUAAGGCCGUGAAACCGCCCGCUGCCGGCUUUGCCGUCAGUGGGAGUGGUGGAGCCGCUGAACCAAGCGGUUAGUAGGUGAGUGAUGGGGUGACGCAGGAAGGUAGUCCAUCCCGGGCGGUGGUUGUCCCGGGGUAAGGGUGUAGGACGUCAGGUAGGUAAAUCCGCCUGGCAAUAGUCUGAGACCUGAUGCCGAGCCGAUUGUGGUGAAGUGGAUGAUCCUAUGCUGUCGAGAAAAGCCUCUAGCGAGUUUCAUGGCGGCCCGUACCCUAAACCGACUCAGGUGGUCAGGUAGAGAAUACCGAGGCGUUCGGGUGAACUAUGGUUAAGGAACUCGGCAAAAUGCCCCCGUAACUUCGGGAGAAGGGGGGCCAUUCUUGGUGAUCGGAUUUACUCCGUGAGCUGGGGGUGGCCGCAGAGACCAGCGAGAAGCGACUGUUUACUAAAAACACAGGUCCGUGCGAAGCCGUAAGGCGAUGUAUACGGACUGACGCCUGCCCGGUGCGGAACGKUAAGGGGACCG